CAGUCGAACGGGGAUGCAUUAAGAAGGAGUGCUUGCAUUCCGGAAGGAUGUAUCUUAGUGGCGGACGGGUGAGUAACGCGUGGGUAACCUGCCCCAUACCGGGGGAUACCACCUGGAAACAGGUGCUAAUACCGCAUAAGCGCACGGGAGCGCAUGCUCCUGUGUGAAAAACUCCGGUGGUAUGGGAUGGACCCGCGUCUGAUUAGCCAGUUGGCAGGGUAACGGCCUACCAAAGCGACGAUCAGUAGCCGGCCUGAGAGGGUGGACGGCCACAUUGGGACUGAGACACGGCCCAAACUCCUACGGGAGGCAGCAGUGGGGAAUAUUGCACAAUGGGGGAAACCCUGAUGCAGCGACGCCGCGUGAGUGAAGAAGUAUUUCGGUAUGUAAAGCUCUAUCAGCAGGAACGAGACAAGACGGUACCUGACUAAGAAGCCCCGGCUAACUACGUGCCAGCAGCCGCGGUAAUACGUAGGGGGCAAGCGUUAUCCGGAAUCACUGGGUGUAAAGGGAGCGUAGACGGCUGAGCAAGCCUGAAGUGAAAGGCGGGGGCCCAACCCCUGGACUGCUUUGGGAACUGUACGGCUGGAGUGCAGGAGAGGUAAGUGGAAUUCCUAGUGUAGCGGUGAAAUGCGUAGAUAUUAGGAGGAACACCAGUGGCGAAGGCGGCUUACUGGACUGUAACUGACGUUGAGGCUCGAAAGCGUGGGGAGCAAACAGGAUUAGAUACCCUGGUAGUCCACGCCGUAAACGAUGAUUACUAGGUGUCGGGGGGCAGAGGCCCUUCGGUGCCGCAGCAAACGCAAUAAGUAAUCCACCUGGGGAGUACGUCCGCAAGGAUGAAACUCAAAGGAAUUGACGGGGAC
rnacentral:rRNA from 1 species